GCCGGGUGAGGUGGUUUGCACCUGUAGUCCCAGGUGCUCGGGAGGUUGAGGUAGGAGGAUUGCUUGAGCCCAGGAGGUUGAGGCUGCAGUGAGCUAUGAUUGCUUCACUGCACUCCAGCCUGGGCAACAGAGCAAGACCCUGUCUCCA
rnacentral:SRP_RNA from 1 species